AUCACUUCCCGGCCUUUGGGCUAAGAUCAAGUGUAGUAUCUGUUCUUAUCAGUUUAAUAUCUGAUACAUCCUCUAUCUGAGGACAAUAUAUUAAAUGGAUUUUUGUAGCUUAGAGUUGGAAUAGGAGCUUGCUCUGUCCACUCCACGCCUUGCCCUGGUAUUGCAGUACUUCCAGGAAUAGUGCACACCUU
ensembl:snRNA U2 U2 spliceosomal RNA